CGAUAUCAAUAAGCGGAGGAAAAGAAACUAACAAGGAUUCCCCUAGUAACGGCGAGUGAAGCGGGAAAAGCUCAAAUUUGAAAUCUGGCAGCCUCAGGUUGUCCGAGUUGUAAUCUAUAGAAACGUUUUCCGCGCUGGCCCAUGUACAAGUCCCUUGGAAUAGGGCGUCAUAGAGGGUGAGAAUCCCGUCCUUGACACGGACCACCAGUGCUUUGUGAUACGUUUUCAACGAGUCGAGUUGUUUGGGAAUGCAGCUCAAAAUGGGUGGUAAAUUCCAUCUAAAGCUAAAUAUUGGCGAGAGACCGAUAGCGAACAAGUACCGUGAGGGAAAGAUGAAAAGAACUUUGAAAAGAGAGUUAAACAGUACGUGAAAUUGUUGAAAGGGAAACGAUUGAAGUCAGUCGUACCAGCGGGAAAUCAACCUUUCGAGUGGGGUUUUGGAGUUUUGAAGUGUGUCAAAACCUUCGAGAUUUCAAAAUGUUCGCUCUUUUGGUGUACUUUCUCGUAGGUAGGUUAACAUCGAUUUUGAUCAUCAUAAAAGGAUUGGAGGAAUGUAGCUUCGAUCUUGUAUUGAAGUGUUAUAGCCUUUGGUAAAUGUGAUGAUUAGGAUCGAGGAUUGCAACGAAUACCCUUUUGGGCUAUCCGCCUGAUCUCUGAUACGUGACCUUGGUAUCGAAAGCGUGCUUAUGGUAUUAAGGUAUUACGGUCAAAAGGUUAGAACGGAUUAAAUUCGUUAAGGAUGUUGACGUA
rnacentral:rRNA from 1 species